rnacentral:tRNA from 1 species
GCCGAGGUGGCGGAACGGAAGACGCGGCGGACUUAAAAUCCGCUGCCGCGCAAGCGGCGUGUGGGUUCGACUCCCACCCUCGGCACCA